rnacentral:rRNA from 1 species
CCUUGAAGACGACAAGGUAGAUAGGGCAGAGGUGGAAGUGCAGUAAUGCAUGGAGCUGACUGUUACUAAUCGGUCGAGGGUAUAACCAAG